rnacentral:rRNA from 1 species
UACGUAGGGUGCAAGCGUUGUCCGGAAUUAUUGGGCGUAAAGAGCUCGUAGGCGGUUUGUUGCGUCGGCUGUGAAAUCCCGAGGCUCAACCUCGGGUCUGCAGUCGAUACGAGCAAACUAGAGUGUUGCAGGGGAGACUGGAAUUCCUGGUGUAGCAGUGAAAUGCGUAGAUAUCAGGAGGAAUACCGAUGGCGAAGGCAGGUCUCUGGGCUAGAACUGACGCUCAUGCACGAAAGCGUGGGGAGCAAACAGG